GAUGAACGCUGGCGGCGUGCCUAACACAUGCAAGUCGAACGGAGCACUUUGAAGUUUUCGGACGGAUGAGUGACUGAGUGGCGGACGGGUGGGUAACGCGUGGGUAACCUGCCUCAUACAGGGGGAUAACAGUUAGAAAUGACUGCUAAUACCGCAUAAGCGCACAGCUUCGCAUGAAGCGGUGUGAAAAACUCCGGUGGUAUGAGAUGGACCCGCGUCUGAUUAGCUAGUUGGCGGGGUAACGGCCCACCAAGGCGACGAUCAGUAGCCGACCGGAGAGGGUGACCGGCCACAUUGGGACUGAGACACGGCCCAAACUCCUACGGGAGGCAGCAGUGGGGAAUAUUGCACAAUGGGCGAAAGCCUGAUGCAGCAACGCCGCGUGAGUGAAGAAGUAUUUCGGUAUGUAAAGCUCUAUCAGCAGGGAAGAAAAUGACGGUACCUGACUAAGAAGCCCCGGCUAACUACGUGCCAGCCGCCGCGGUAAGAC
rnacentral:rRNA from 1 species